GCCGUCAUCGUAUAGGGGUUAGUACAUCAGUUUGUGGUCCAUCGAGACACUGAAAAACGCAAGUUCGAGUCUUGCUGACGGCA